rnacentral:rRNA from 1 species
GAUGAACGCUGGCGGCGUGCCUAAUACAUGCAAGUCGAGCGAACGGACGAGAAGCUUGCUUCUCUGAUGUUAGCGGCGGACGGGUGAGUAACACGUGGAUAACCUACCUAUAAGACUGGGAUAACUUCGGGAAACCGUAGCUAAUACCGGAUAAUAUUUUGAACCGCAUGGUUCAAAAGUGAAAGACGGUCUUGCUGUCACUUAUAGAUGGAUCCGCGCUGCAUUAGCUAGUUGGUAAGGUAACGGCUUACCAAGGCAACGAUGCAUAGCCGACCUGAGAGGGUGAUCGGCCACACUGGAACUGAGACACGGUCCAGACUCCUACGGGAGGCAGCAGUAGGGAAUCUUCCGCAAUGGGCGAAAGCCUGACGGAGCAACGCCGCGUGAGUGAUAAAGGUCUUCGGAUCGUAAAACUCUGCUAUUAGGGAAGAACAUAUGUGUAAGUAACUGUGCACAUCUUGACGGUACCUAAUCAGAAAGCCACGGCUAACUACGUG